ACGAACGCUGGCGGCGUGCUUAACACAUGCAAGUCGAACGCUGAAGCUUGGUGCUUGCACUGGGUGGAUGAGUGGCGAACGGGUGAGUAAUACGUGAGUAACCUGCCCUUGACUCUCGGAUAAGCCUGGGAAACUGGGUCUAAUACUGGAUAUGACAUGCCACUGCAUGGUGGUGUGUGGAAAGGGUUUUACUGGUUUUGGAUGGGCUCACGGCCUAUCAGCUUGUUGGUGGGGUAAUGGCCUACCAAGGCGACGACGGGUAGCCGGCCUGAGAGGGUGACCGGCCACACUGGGACUGAGACACGGCCCAGACUCCUACGGGAGGCAGCAGUGGGGAAUAUUGCACAAUGGGCGGAAGCCUGAUGCAGCGACGCCGCGUGAGGGAUGACGGCCUUCGGGUUGUAAACCUCUUUCAGCACGGAAGAAGCGAGAGUGACGGUACGUGCAGAAGAAGCGCCGGCUAACUACGUG
rnacentral:rRNA from 1 species